AUGAACGCUGGCGGCGUGCCUAAUACAUGCAAGUCGAGCGAACAGACGAGGAGCUUGCUCCUCUGACGUUAGCGGCGGCCGGGUGAGUAACACGUGGAUAACCUACCUAUAAGCCUGGGAUAACUUCGGGAAACCGGAGCUAAUACCGGAUAAUAUAUUGAACCGCUUGGUUCAAUAGUGAAAGACGGUUUUGUUGUCACUUAUAGAUGGAUCCGCGCCGCAUUAGCUAGUUGGUAAGGUAACGGCUUACCAAGGCAACGAUGCGUAGCCGACCUGAGAGGGUGAUCGGCCACACUGGAACUGAGACACGGUCCAGACUCCUACGGGAGGCAGCAGUAGGGAAUCUUCCGCAAUGGGCGAAAGCCUGACGGAGCAACGCCGCGUGAGUGAUGAAGGUCUUCGGAUCGUAAAACUCUGUUAUUAGGGAAGAACAAAUGUGUAAGUAACUAUGCACGUCUUGACGGUACCUAAUCAGAAAGCCACGGCUAACUACGUG
rnacentral:rRNA from 1 species